rnacentral:rRNA from 1 species
CCUACGGGAGGCAGCAGUGGGGAAUAUUGCACAAUGGGCGCAAGCCUGAUGCAGCGACGCCGCGUGAGGGAUGACGGCCUUCGGGUUGUAAACCUCUUUCAGUAGGGAAGAAGCGUAAGUGACGGUACCUGCAGAAGAAGCGCCGGCUAACUACGUGCCAGCAGCCGCGGUAAUACGUAGGGCGCAAGCGUUAUCCGGAAUUAUUGGGCGUAAAGAGCUCGUAGGCGGUUUGUCGCGUCUGCCGUGAAAGUCCGGGGCUCAACUCCGGAUCUGCGGUGGGUACGGGCAGACUAGAGUGAUGUAGGGGAGACUGGAAUUCCUGGUGUAGCGGUGAAAUGCGCAGAUAUCAGGAGGAACACCGAUGGCGAAGGCAGGUCUCUGGGCAUUAACUGACGCUGAGGAGCGAAAGCAUGGGGAGCGAACAGGAUUAGAUACCCUGGUAGUCCAUGCCGUAAACGUUGGGCACUAGGUGUGGGGGACAUUCCACGUUUUCCGCGCCGUAGCUAACGCAUUAAGUGCCCCGCCUGGGGAGUACGGCCGCAAGGCUAAAACUCAAAGAUAGUACGGCGUGNGAGNGCGACGACGACGACGACGGAGGAGG